rnacentral:rRNA from 1 species
UACGUAGGGUGCAAGCGUUAAUCGGAAUUACUGGGCGUAAAGCGUGCGCAGGCGGUUAUGUAAGACAGUUGUGAAAUCCCCGGGCUCAACCUGGGAACUGCAUCUGUGACUGCAUAGCUAGAGUACGGUAGAGGGGGGAUGGAAUUCCGCGUGUAGCAGUGAAAUGCGUAGAUAUGCGGAGGAACACCGAUGGCGAAGGCAAUCCCCCUGGACCUGUACUGACGCUCCAUGCA